CUUCACCAUCAUGACCAUUAAACCAAGAAGUGGGCUGCAGGAAGCACCAGUUCUGUUCAGACAUCAGGGAGGGAACACAGGAAUUGAGGAAGGGGAGAUGGAGGGUCUUGAGGUCAGUUCUCAGAAGACAAGAAUAUGAGGAGGUGCUAGGAGGAGCCUUCGGGGUGAUAGCGGUGCAAUGGCAAGGAGAGGAAUGUCCAUCAGCAUCAAGGUUUCUCAGGAGGCAGAGCACAGUGUGCCCUCAUUUCCCCCUGAAGCCCUACAGGACGUUGCCCUGUAGCAAUGCUUCACACAGACCGCUCCUGGACUGGCACUACAGCCCUGCAGAGAGCUUAGCUGGAGAAACACAGCCCUGAUCAGCCUAUCCAUGGCCUCGUGGAUGGAGAUCUUCUGUCCCUGGCGUUUGCACCAUCAUCACCAUCAUCGCCGCUCCUGAUGAAGCUGGACAUCCUCCCCUCCCUCACCUGCACCUCCCUGCAGUGACUCACAGCAGCAUCAGAUUGAGACUGGGCAGUGUGAGGAGGAAAACAUUCCAUCCACCCCCUCCUGUGCCUCAGGGACGCAUCAGAGGGCACUGAGGACACGUCGGAGGGGUGGGGGUGUCAGGGUAGGCUCUCCUUUUGGACAGGGAGGUACAGAGAUAAGGUGCUCUGGUCUGGGAGUUGCUGACCAGUGUGGGAAAAGGCUACCAUCCAACCAACCAGCCGAAGUAGGACCUGCCCUCCACGACAUGCUCUUCUGGCUGAGAAGAGCCGGGGGUAGGUUUACAGAAAGGGAUUUAUAUGGAUGGAGAGGAGGAUGGUUAAAGCCAGCGUUGGUGUCUUGCUUUGGGGUGUACAGAGAGUGUUGGUGCAGAGCUUGUAGAGCGAGGGAGCGUGGCUGCACAAAUCACAGAUUUCAUCACAGACACCAGGAGACAAUUAUUCCAUACAUGGAUAAAAAUAAGUGUUUUCUGCAGCAAACAGCCCUACUGGAAGCGCUGCCAAGCUCUCCAGCCUGUGCCCACCCACUGCAAAUCCUGUUGGAAAAUUACGGAGGAACGUGCAUUUGUUUGUCAGGGUGAGGUGGUCUGUUCUGGAGAUCUGCAGUAUCCGUGGUCAUCCUGGGAAAGAUACAUAAAUGGUCACCCUAAGAAAGAUAUUCUCUCACCACGCUGCGAGCUGUGCGGACGAUGCUCUGACCUUUCUGCCUUUGGUGUUCAUGCCUGGCUAAAUCGCUCCGUUAAUUAAGCUAGAGCUAAGACUUUUCUGAAUUAAUGACCUAGCUGGGAGCUCCAGAGUGCCUUGCCUGCAGGCGAAGCCUUCGGAUGUACCCAUGGAUAACCAUCCUUUCAACAGCAUCUCUGCAGCAUCUGUCUUGCACCAUGGCUUUAGUAGAGCAUUGUGGUUUUGAUGUCACUGGGCUACAUGUAGAGCAAGGGAUGCUUUGGGGAUGUGGUACAACUGAGCCAAAACCAAGACCAACUGUGGCCACUGAGGUUUUUUUUUUUGCCAUGUGGAUUCUCCAGUGCCUCUAUGGGUCGUGCUCAAGGGUUGGGCUCGUAUUUGAGCCCAUUGGGUCGAUGAUGUCUUCUCUUUCUCCACACCCUGUUUUCCAAAGCUUGGAGAUGGCCCAACACUUGUGGCUGAAAUUGGUCAUAGGCUCCCAGAGUGGGUUGGAUGGGGAGGAAGAUGCAGAAAGUGAGCCCACCUGAGCCCCGUUCUCCCUUUGCAGGAGAGGCAGGAAGGCUGCAUGGCACUGCACCGCUGCCCAUCUCCGACCAUGAAAGAUUACAGCACGUCCUGAGCAGAAGGACUGUAGGAGUCAAUCCCUUGUAAGCCUUUCUAUUUAAAGGAAUAAACUACCCAGAAAAAGCAGGCUAAGAUUAGAAACUCACAGGAUUUCCUCAAGUUCCAGCCAUCAGGGGAUGGUUCAUGCUUCUCCCAGUGCUCAAAGCCUGCGCCCCAGCAGAGCUAAGCACAGAUUAUGUUCUGCAGCUCCAUCACAGAGCCAAAGCCCACGUUCAAAGCUAGUUUAAUGCUGCUCCCUCUCUUUUUAAACCCUCUCUGGCACUGCUUGGUUGACAAAUGGUUUUUCAUGCAGGAGUGUAUUGGCUUUGCUGGAGAGGCGCGAGCAGGGGAUGCUUCCUGUGAAAUGCAUGCAGUAAGCAUCUCCUUGCCGUGUACAAAAUGCUUUUUGUGUCCUGGGAUGUGCUGGGGGUUUGGCACUCGGACUGUUCUGUCCUGAAACCAAAAUAAUAAUACUAGAUGAAACCAGGGAUUUAGAUAAAAAGAAAACAACCAUCAUGCACUUUGUGCCUUACUGGUUGGAGAUGGGGCAGUCGUUUGGGGUGCAGGGUUGGUUCCUGGCUCUGCUGCUCCUCUCCAGCCUGGGAGAAAUUCCAGCCUAAAGGAUCUCCCCUUAGAGCAGAAAAAGUCAAGCAUAAAUACUGAACCCUGGUAAGCACCAUGCAGCUGUGCAUGCAAGGGCAAGUCCAACCAAACAGCAAGUUCUGAAGGAAACCAUUUUUGGCCAAUAAAAAUAAGUCAUGACAACAGAUUGCUCUCACUUCUCUGUUUUAGGGUGCAGCAUUCCCACCCCAAAAGCAGGGACAGGGGGACCUGAGAGGUGCUGCAGCCUCCCUGGGGA
ensembl:lncRNA